rnacentral:snoRNA from 1 species
UGCCAUGAUGUCGUAAUUUGCGUCUUACUCUGUGCUCAGUGACAGUUGCCUGCUGUCAGUGAACUGGUACAGACGACUGACGAACAGUUAAUGCUGAGCA